rnacentral:lncRNA from 1 species
GAUAACGUACACCCGUGCAAUACUUCUCUUAGGAAGACGAGCUUGGGGUUUCGAAAUUUACCUUUCGACAUUCGACCAUCAGGAGUAGGCAACUCUAGAUAUUUCUCCUCAAAUGAAGAGAGUUUAACUUACAAAGAUGCACUUAAACUCUUCUAAUUGUUUCGGACAUGAUUUCCCAAACAUUAUGAUGCACUUGGUGAGGUUUAUAAGCUGACCAGUGGAAUUCUCAUAAAUCUUGAUGAUGCUACUGACCUCAUUAGGGUGAUGUGUGUCAGCCUUAAAGAAUAGCAAAGUAUAAUCUACGAACAGUAAGUGAGAUAUAUCCUGGGAUCUUUGGCACAUCUUGCGGGGAGUAAAAUUUCUUUUUUAUCUUCAUCGUCCUUCAACAAGGUCGAGAGACCAUCAGCAAUAAACAUGAUCGGAAACACAGAGAUUGUGGCACCUUGUCGUAGCCCACGCGAUGGUGCGAUGGUGCACAUGGAUGUAAGAGGACACCAUUCAAUUCAAAAGUCUAUCUCAACAUGGCCUCACCCAUCGCACUCCCAAUGAUUAUAUCUCGUCAUGAUUUUUCUUUCGUGCAACCAACAGGAGCUCUACCCUUUCAUAUAGCAGAAGAGAAUUGACUAGCUACUAAGGAAAAUUGAUCUAAAACAAAUACAUAUGUAGCACACACACCAUCCCUAUGGGAGUGCCCUAAGCAAGAUGGCGGUUGUUUCACCCAAGAAACUGGAGUACACACCCUACAACACAACCCAAAGUUGAUGGUCUGCCAUACAAACCUCAGCAACUCACACACCGGCCUCGAGGUCGUGCAGCAGACGCGUCGACGACUGUGUCACCCCAGUGACGAGAAACAACACCCUACAAACAAAAGACUCUCUUUGAGGUCGUCGCUUUGGCUUCACCCCAGCCCCAAGGUCGUGAACCCAAUGAGCCAAUGAUUCUGCCACGCAAGUGACUGGACUCAACACUCUGCAACACAAAAACGACCACCCCUCAACCUUCACACUGGCUGUGAGGCCGUGUUAUCAAUAGUGAAACUACCAGACAAUGCAAGACAUAGAAACAGACCUCCAAAGCGAC